UUUGCCAUGCAGCUUGGUUUGAAAGAAAACCAUUCUAUUACUAGGGGCCAAGGGAGUUGUUGAGAACAAAAUCAUGUCCCAAGAAAGGAGUGAAUCUCAGAAAAGCCCUGCUGAUACAAAGAUGGGGAACGGGAAGGGGCUCAUUUUACAGAUGGGGAAACUGAAGCAAACCUGGUGAAGUUACUUGCCUAGGAUCACAUAACCAAGUUCAACUGCCCUAAGAGAUAUGACUUCUCGCACUCUGACAUGAAGAAUGACUAGAACAUGAUGCACAAGAAGGGCUCUAUAUGGCCACGGGCAAAUUCAAGAAGAUCAGAAGAGGAGAUGUGGAAACUUCCAAGAAUAGGGCUGUUGGUCAAAACAAACAGCAUCCCUUCACAGAGAACACAAUAAGCUGGACCAAGAACUAUGAAAUUUCAUUAUGCCAGAGUCAUCCUAGAAGUGGGCAAAGUGAUCCAAGAGGGGCUGCAGAAUAAGGGACUGACACAGAAGAAUCUAGCCACAAAAAUCGAUGGCUGUUUAUGACCCAAGGCAAGCUUUGAAAUCUAUAAAACCUAGAUUCAACUCCUGUCUUUAAAGUAUAAAAGAUUGUGAUUCUUGGUGAUUCACUUAAUUCCUCUGUGCCCUAAGCAAUUCUCUUAAGUCUGAGAUGAGUCACUCGUCUGAAUUGUGGGAAAGAGUUUUCUCCACUGGAAAUGUUCUGCCUUAGUGAAACAAUAGACUCAGAGCAAUAGUAAAAAGAAUUUCUCCAAUUAGA